GAUGAACGCUGGCGGCGUGCCUAAUACAUGCAAGUCGAGCGAACGGACGAGAAGCUUGCUUCUCUGAUGUUAGCGGCGGACGGGUGAGUAACACGUGGAUAACCUACCUAUAAGACUGGGAUAACUUCGGGAAACCGGAGCUAAUACCGGAUAAUAUUUUGAACCGCAUGGUUCAAAAGUGAAAGACGGUCUUGCUGUCACUUAUAGAUGGAUCCGCGCUGCAUUAGCUAGUUGGUAAGGUAACGGCUUACCAAGGCAACGAUGCAUAGCCGACCUGAGAGGGUGAUCGGCCACACUGGAACUGAGGCACGGUCCAGACUCCUACGGGAGGCAGCAGUAGGGAAUCUUCCGCAAUGGGCGAAAGCCUGACGGAGCAACGCCGCGUGAGUGAUGAAGGUCUUCGGAUCGUAAAACUCUGUUAUUAGGGAAGAACAUAUGUGUAAGUAACUGUGCACAUCUUGACGGUACCUAAUCAGAAAGCCACGGCUAACUACGUGCCAGCAGCCGCGGUAAUACGUAGGUGGCAAGCGUUAUCCGGAAUUAUUGGGCGUAAAGCGCGCGUAGGCGGUUUUUUAAGUCUGAUGUGAAAGCCCACGGCUCAACCGUGGAGGGUCAUUGGAAACUGGAAAACUUGAGUGCAGAAGAGGAAAGUGGAAUUCCAUGUGUAGCGGUGAAAUGCGCAGAGAUAUGGAGGAACACCAGUGGCGAAGGCGACUUUCUGGUCUGUAACUGACGCUGAUGUGCGAAAGCGUGGGGAUCAAACAGGAUUAGAUACCCUGGUAGUCCACGCCGUAAACGAUGAGUGCUAAGUGUUAGGGGGUUUCCGCCCCUUAGUGCUGCAGCUAACGCAUUAAGCACUCCGCCUGGGGAGUACGACCGCAAGGUUGAAACUCAAAGGAAUUGACGGGGACCCGCACAAGCGGUGGAGCAUGUGGUUUAAUUCGAAGCAACGCGAAGAACCUUACCAAAUCUUGACAUCCUUUGACAACUCUAGAGAUAGAGCCUUCCCCUUCGGGGGACAAAGUGACAGGUGGUGCAUGGUUGUCGUCAGCUCGUGUCGUGAGAUGUUGGGUUAAAUCCCGCAACGAGCGCAACCCUUAAGCUUAGUUGCCAUCAUUAAGUUGGGCACUCUAAGUUGACUGCCGGUGACAAACCGGAGGAAGGUGGGGAUGACGUCAAAUCAUCAUGCCCCUUAUGAUUUGGGCUACACACGUGCUACAAUGGACAAUACAAAGGGCAGCGAAACCGCGAGGUCAAGCAAAUCCCAUAAAGUUGUUCUCAGUUCGGAUUGUAGUCUGCAACUCGACUACAUGAAGCUGGAAUCGCUAGUAAUCGUAGAUCAGCAUGCUACGGUGAAUACGUUCCCGGGUCU
rnacentral:rRNA from 1 species